CCUAGGGUAGCAGCAGUGAGGAAUAUUGGUCAAUUGGCGCGAACCUGAACCAGCCAAGUAGCGUGAAGGAUUACUGCCCUACGGGUUGUAAACUUCUUUUAUAAAGGAAUAAAGUCAGGCACGUGUGCCUUUUUUUAUUUACUUUAUUAAUAAGGAUCGGCUCACUCCGUGCCAGCAGCCGCGGUAAUACGGAGGAUCCGAGCGUUAUCCGGAUUUAUUGGGUUUAAAGGGAGCGUAGAUGGGUUGUUAAGUCAGUUGUGAAAGUUUGCGGCUCAACCGUAAAAUUGCAAUUGAUACUGGCAGUCUUGAGUACAGUUGAGGUAGGCGGAAUUCGUGGUGUAGCGGUGAAAUGCUUAGAUAUCACGAAGAACUCCGAUUGCGAAGGCAGCUUACUAAACUGCAACUGACAUUGAUGCUCGAAAGUGUGGGUAUCAAACAGGAUUAGAUACCCCAGUAGUC
rnacentral:rRNA from 1 species